rnacentral:rRNA from 1 species
GACGAACGCUGGCGGCGUGGAUUAGGCAUGCAAGUCGGACGGUAGAGCUUUAUCGUAAGAUAGAGUUUGAGAGUGGCGAACUGGUGAGUAACACGUAGGUUAUCUACCCUCAAGACGGGGACAACCCAGGGAAACUUGGGCUAAUACCGGAUGUGAGCAACUUUUAGUUGUUUGAAAGGUGGCGUAAGCUGUCGCUUGGGGAUGAGCCUGCGUCCUAUUAGUUAGUUGGUGAGGUAACGGCUCACCUAGGCAAUGAUAGGUAGGCGGCCUUAACGGGUGGUCGCCCACACUGGGAUUGAGAUACGGCCCAGACUCCUACGGGAGGCAGCAGUCGAGAAUAGUCUACAAUGGUCGGAAGACUGAUAGUGCGACGCCGCGUGAACGAUGAAUCCCUUCGGGGUGUAAAGUUCUUUUAUAUGUGAGCAGUGCUUCUUAUAUUAACAGUAUGGGGAGAGAGAUAUUAGCAUAUGAAUAAGCAACGGCUAACUCCGUGCCAGCAGCCGAC